rnacentral:rRNA from 1 species
UGGGGAAUUUUGGACAAUGGGCGCAAGCCUGAUCCAGCAAUGCCGCGUGCAGGACGAAGGCCUUCGGGUUGUAAACUGCUUUUGUACGGAACGAAACGGCUCUGUCUAAUACAUGGGGCUAAUGACGGUACCGUAAGAAUAAGCACCGGCUAACUACGUGCCAGCAGCCGCGGUAAUACGUAGGGUGCAAGCGUUAAUCGGGAUUACUGGGCGUAAAGCGUGCGCAGGCGGUUAUGCAAGACAGAUGUGAAAUCCCCGGGCUCAACCUGGGAACUGCAUUUGUGACUGCAUAGCUGGAGUGCGGCAGAGGGGGGUAGAAUUCCACGUGUAGCAGUGAAAUGCGUAGAUAUGUGGAGGAACACCGAUGGCGAAGGCAAUCCCCUGGGCCUGUACUGACGCUCAUGCACGAAAGCGUGGGGAGCAAACA